CGCCACGAUGCCCCGGCACCCCAGGCUGGCCCCAGCUGUCUGCGGGACGCGGAGCCGGGCGACAGGCAGCCAGGGAGGCUGCUGCAGGGAGAAGCGCACCGGGAUUCCUCCGGAGCGGGAAGACGGGAGGUUCCUGGAUGGCACCUACAGCUGUGGCUAUGGGAUCUAAUGUAUAAGUUUUGGCUCUUCCCACUCUGAAGACACUCCAGUAUCUCAACACUGGGAGACAAGCUGUGGACACGUGGCUGGUUUACGUGUGCAUGGUGUCUAGUGACUGGAGCAAGGUUCCGAAACGUUCACUACUCUCGUCCCCUUCCCUUCUGGAGGUUGACUAUGGUGCGUCAAGCUCUCCGAAGGACCAGCAUGGAGAUUGGCACUCUGAACUGUUAAUGGGGACAUGGGACUCACGUCGCCGUUGAUCAUUUGUGUGGACUUAACCAGCAAAGACCAACAGAAGACACUAGAAAGGCAGUUGGAAUUAUAGCAGUUUUUCAGGUCACCAAAUUUUGUUAUUUUAAUUUCUGUCUGGAAGAAUGUCUGAGCAAGGUAAAUUGAACCAGGAGACAGCAGAAGAAGCUGCAAAAGAGCAGGAGACUGCCAUCUCUGAAGCCAACCCGGACAACUGUGUUCUUAAUAAAUCCGAAAGCUCAGAAGUAGAGGAGGAGAAGCUCAGUGAUUCCAAGACAGAGCUGCAGGUGUUACUGCCAACAAAAAGUUGUUAUGCAAAGCCUAAGAAGAAACGAGGGGCGAAUCAGAAAAAGAGAUCCAAGUCAGGAGCUAAGGGAAAACUCGUGCGGAGUCUUGCUGUCUGUGAAGAGUCAUCCCCUCGCCCGGGAGCAGAAAAUCUUCAUGACAACCAGGAAUCAAUCCAACUGCAGCUUUCAAGUUUUCCUAGCUUGCAAGAAGAAGAUAAAUCUAGUAAAGAUGACUCCGAGAAAGAAAAAGAGAAGGAUAAAAAUAAAGAUAAAAACAGUGAAAAAAGCAAGAUCAGAAUGUUAUCAAAAGAUUGCAGUCAAGAGUAUACAGACUCAACAGGCAUAGAUUUGCAUGAGUUUCUCAUUAACACAUUAAAGAAUAACCCCAGGGACAGAAUGAUCCUCUUGAAAAUGGAACAGGAAAUUAUUGAUUUUAUUAGUGACAACAAUAAUCACUAUAAAAAGUUUCCUCAGAUGUCAUCGUAUCAGAGGAUGCUAGUGCACAGAGUGGCAGCUUAUUUUGGAAUGGAUCACAAUGUGGAUCAGACUGGAAAAUCUGUAAUUAUCAACAAGACCAGCAAUACAAGAAUACCAGAGCAAAGGUUUUCUGAACAUUUAAAAGAUGAAAAAGGUGAAGAAUCCCAGAAGCGAUUUAUCUUGAAGCGAGAUAACUCUAGUAUUGAUAAAGAAGACAAUCAGCAAAACAGAAUUCUUCCAUUUAGAGAUGACAGACGAAGUAAAUCAAUUGAAGAGAGAGAAGAGGAGUAUCAGAGAGUGAGGGAGAGAAUAUUUGCACAAGAUUCAGUUUGCUCCCAGGAAAACCUUUUUGUGGAAAACAGUAGGCUGUUGGAAGACAGUAGCAUAUGCAAUGAUAUGCAUAAGAAAAGACAGCUGUUUAGGGGCAACAGAGACAGCAUUGGGAAGACAUCUGGUAGUCGACAGAGCAGUACAGAGAACGAAUUGAAGUGGGCAGACCACCAGAGGCCAUGGAGCAGCACAGACUCGGACAGCUCAAAUCGAAAUUUGAAGCCAGCCAUAACAAAGACAGCCAGUUUUGGUGGGAUAACCGUCCUGACAAGAGGAGAUAGCUCAUCAAGCAACAGAAGUACCGGCAAACUGUCUAAAACAGGUAGCUCAGAGUCUUCCAGCAGUGCUGGCUCCUCAGGAUCACUGUCACGAAUACAUCAGCCUCUCCAAAGUGCAUCUCUUGUCCCUGGGGUGACAGCCAAUUCUUCAGGCAGCGUGUCCUACCCUGAGAACGGGAUGAGUGGCCAGGUGGCCCCCAGCAACACCAGCUAUAUCAUUCUUCCGCUUGAAGCUGCAGGGAUACCGCCUGGCAGUAUCCUUCUCAACCCACACACAGGUCAACCAUUUGUAAAUCCUGAUGGGACGCCGGCAAUAUACAAUCCUCCCAGUGGCCAGCAGACAAUGAGGAGCCAGGUGGUGGGACAGUCUCAACAGCAGCCUUCACCCCAGCAGCCUCAGCAAGUUCAACAGCCACAGCAGCAAAUGGCAAGUCACCUUGUCACACAGCCUGUUCAGACAAUGCAGCCAUCCUCUCAGUCAGUCCAAUAUCCAGCAGUUUCUUAUCCUCCCCAGCAUCUCCUGCCGGUCUCUCCAACACAGCAGUUUUCUGUGCGGGAUGACAUGACAGCGCAGUUUAACCAGAUGAGCUUAAGCCGCCAGUCAUCAGGAGACAACCCCGAGUCGCCUUCUGGCCCCGUGUACCCCUCGCCCAUCCUGCAGCAGCCUGCCCAGCAGACAGGUUACAUCAUGGCCUCCCCAAGCCAGCAGCUUCCCCCAGGAGGCUUCACGGGUUCAGGAGCACCGGUGUCCCAGCAGGUGCUGCAGCCGCCGCCCCAGGGCUUCGUGCAACAGCCACCGCCGCCUGCUCAGAUGCCAGUGUAUUAUUACCCAUCUGGUCAGUACUCUACCUCAACAACUCAGCAGUACAGACCCAUUGCCUCAGUUCAGUACAACGCACAGCGGAGUCAACAGAUCCCCCAGACUGCCCAGCAAGCAGGUUACCAGCCUGUCCUGCCGAACCAGCAGCAAGGGUUCCAGGGUCUCAUGGGAAUGCAGCAGCCGCCCCAAAGCCAGAACCUGAUGAAUAAUCAACAGGGGAAUCAGGUGCAAGGCAUGAUGGUGCAGUAUCCAGCCAUGUCGUCUUAUCAGGUAUUUAGGAGCUGUAAGGAAAGACUUUUUUCUUGGAGAAUGCUUAAUUGAAUUAAGUUUUUGCAUCACACAUUGGCCUUAUAACUUCAUUUGGGUAGUGUGUGGCAGGAAGCCUUCUGAUGAAUAUGCUUCUAAGUCAGUUUCUUUGCUUCCUAUUUACAUGGUUUUAGUACUCCUGAUAUUCGUUCUGAUUUCGGAAUGCUUCAAAUGAACUAUUUAUUACAGCCUGCAGUGAGGGUAAUGUCACAAAGAACGAAGGGAUUAGACUUCUUCCUGUGAAGAAAAUUAAUUAAAAAAAAUAUAAGAACAUUGUUCAUUUCUUCUCUUUUUUGCCAGUGCAGUACUGUUUCCUGUAAUGAAGUUGAGGGCUUUGCCUGAUCCAGUUAAAAAUUACUCAUCUGUGGAGACUCCUGCCAAGGAUCUCACCAUGUCUUCUAUAACAAGCUGUAGCCAGAUGGAUUAUUGUUUAUUGGGUUCUGGGGAGAGGGAAGGCAGUGGCUUGAUUUUUACCAAGUCCGUAAGUUACCCAGACUUAUUUCCCAACUUUUAUACCCAGUUUCCGUGAGUUAUGCCAAGCGCAUGUGAGAGGUGGCCUGUGCUUACACUUCCUGCUGGUCCCUCUGGAAAGUUAAGAAACUAAAUGAUAUCUAAUUCGUUUUAAUAGAUUGCACUGAAUGAGCAGCCAUUCCCCUUUUCUCUCAGCUUCUUUGAAAACACUUCAGCGACGCAGAUGGAAAUGGGGAAAUUGCUUAUGGGUGCCAAUGACCCAGGGUUCUCAAGGAUUGCCACAACAAUCAUAUCAACAACCAAUCAUGCUACCUAAUCAAUCAGGUCAAGGAACACUUACAGCCACUGGAAUGCCUGUCUACUGUAAUGUCAUACCUCCUGCCCCACAG